UCUCCAUAUAUGUCUGUCAUUGUUCUUAGAAUAUCAGCUCUCCUGGAGACAUGAUCUUCUCAUGAAGAAGGGCAGAGGCACAAGAUAAUAAGUCCAACCACACAAGCUGUUACCUGCUCUUUUAUAUGAUGGUCAGUCGGGUGUCCAUAAGAGGGGACGAAGGAGAGAAUCCAGGAAACAAAAUCGUAUUAUAAACCUAGAAACAGGUGCAUGGCAGCCAAGCAGGACCACAAGGGAAAAUGUCAGGCGGUCAGGAGGAACAAAGGAGGAGCAAGUUUGCCAUGAAUGAACUAAGUCAGCAUUUCUCUGAAGGCUCUUGGAGUCUUUGCAAGAAAAUUAUGACCUGAAGAAAUGAUUAAACGUAUAGACUUUUAUGCUAGGUUUGAUGAAGAAUGUAUAAAAAUGGAG
rnacentral:lncRNA from 1 species